GUUUAGUUUGUGCAUGUCCUUGCAAAGAAAUCUAUCAAUUUAGUUUAACAAUGUAGUGACAUGUUGAUACAUGUGCAUCUCUAUCCUGAUAAUAGACAAAUUGUUUCACAAAAUGGGUCUUGAUGUGAUUUUUUUCUAGAUAUAGUCUACAAUUUUAACAUAAGUCAGCCUUGAGAAUGGGUAAAUGGACAGUCAGGGAACAAAUGGAAGAGAAAACCACUGUCUCCAUUGAUCCACACAGUAAGUACAAGUUUUCAGUUAGUUUAUCAGCACACAUAACACUAAAGAUGAGUCAUCAACAGGGUAGCCAAGUAGAGUAAACCACAGGAUAAAAGAUGAAACAAAAAUAAAAUACAGGUUUUAAAACCACGAUACAACAAAUAGUGUUCCCCAAAUCAUACACAAACCCUCUUCCCCGGUUUAGAACAAAUGACAGUUGUGCCUUCCACCUCAUGGCUUCCCCAUACUAAAUACACAAGUACAAAAGGUCAGUGGAGUGUUCCUACCAGGAAGCCAGCUGUAUCUUAGCUAUAAAGCUCAAUUAAUGCCACUCCUCUGGCAAGUGGACCAUUCAGAUGUGCCCACCUUCCCCUCCAAGAUUUUUUUUUUUUUACUAUUCCAUUAUUCAUGAAUUAUUUAAAAGUACUUUUCUCCUUCCUCUGGUCUCCACUGCACUUGGGGAAGCUGUUCUAACUAUUAUCCCCUUGUCUGAUGACCAAGGAGCUUUCCAACUGGAAUUCAAAUUCACUUUGGCAGAUACUAAAGUCCUUUCCAGUAGUAUUAUGUGUUAUUCAUGAACUGUUUUCCCCAAAUGAAGUUUUAAUGACUAACUUAGUGAUUUCCUUUAGAGCAUCUAUAGCCUUAAUUAUAGAGGCCAGAACACUUGUUCCUCUCACGGUGAAAACAUGUUUUUAUGAUGGUGAUGAGAAAUGGGGGAUCAAAUCUCCUUUCUACCCCAGGACCUUCCUGGAAACCUUUUCCAUUUCUGAAGAACAGACUGCUAGUAUUGAACUUGACCACAAUUCUUGAUUUCAUUUGCUUAGUGAAGAUGGAACACAAACUAUAUCAUAGGAAGAGAGAGCAACAAUUUUAUUUUAAAUUAGUCAUAGCCUUCUCAGCUACUACAACUUCAAGUAAUAAAAUAACCUAGAGGUCACAUAUUCGGAUAACAGGCUUUGAGAAAGUAAUACUUAUGUACUGCAUGACAGAACUGUUUGACUUUCUUAAUUAUUUUUUCCUGGAGUUAUUCUGUCCAGUUUACCAAAAAACCUCCUGCUCCCACCUUGGUAAUGAAACCUAAUUCAAGUCCUUAUUAUUCUUGCCUAAACACUUCAAGUGACCCAGCUGAUAUUUAUCCUCCCAAUCUAUAUUCUCCUUAAUUCACACAAUUCAUUACUGCCACACUCAUCUACCAAGGGACUGUCCUAAUUAUGCCAUCUACCACAGGUUAAAACAAAAUGAGAAUUUAUCUGUCUCCUGCUUAUAGAGCAAAAAUCAAAGCUGUAAAGGGGUUUUAAAUUAAUCUGAUGUACACUUAGCCUCUUCCCAGUAAUGGCCAUCUUUACUCUAAUGAUACAAUGACCAAUGAGCACUAAUGAUACAAUUUCCACAAAAAACCUCACCCAUAAUAGCAAGUGCCUUUACUUUUUGAUGAUUUUUUCCACAUAUUUGUACAAAUUGUGAUUAUCUGUCUCCUUCUGGAGACUUAAAGUGAAGAUACAAGUUACUUGCAUAUAUAAUAUCUUAUAUUUUCUAUGAAACAUCUUGGUUCUUGACCCACUGCAAUACUUGAUGUCUCCACGCCAUGGCACUGAUUGGAUGUGUUAUACACUGAUCUUAGUGCUUUGGUUCUGAACUUCAUCUGAGG
rnacentral:lncRNA from 1 species